UGGGGAAUUUUGGACAAUGGGCGAAAGCCUGAUCCAGCAAUGCCGCGUGUGUGAAGAAGGCCUUCGGGUUGUAAAGCACUUUUGUCCGGAAAGAAAUCCUUGGCUCUAAUACAGUCGGGGGAUGACGGUACCGGAAGAAUAAGCACCGGCUAAUUACGUGCCAGCAGCCGCGGUAAUACGUAGGGUGCAAGCGUUAAUCGGAAUUACUGGGCGUAAAGCGUGCGCAGGCGGUUUGCUAAGACCGAUGUGAAAUCCCCGGGCUCAACCUGGGAACUGCAUUGGUGACUGGCAGGCUAGAGUAUGGCAGAGGGGGGUAGAAUUCCACGUGUAGCAGUGAAAUGCGUAGAGAUGUGGAGGAAUACCGAUGGCGAAGGUAGCCCCCUGGGCCAAUACUGACGCUCAUGCACGAAAGCGUGGGGGAGCAAACAGGAUUAGAUACCCUGGUAGUCCACGCCCUAAACGAUGUCAACUAGUUGUUGGGGAUUCAUUUCCUUAGUAACGUAGCUAACGCGUGAAGUUGACCGCCUGGGGAGUACGGUCGCAAGAUUAAAACUCAAAUGAAUUGACGGGGUCAUAGCUGUUUCCU
rnacentral:rRNA from 1 species